rnacentral:lncRNA from 1 species
GGCUCCACACCUGCGCCCAACACUCCGCAGGUACAUUCACACCAGAACCAAAAAAUCUUCAGCUAUGCAACAUGGAGUGAAAAUAAUUCAAACCUCGUCUGAAGCUCACCCGAGCCCCUCGAGACCCCGUCCAAACAUACCAACAAGUCUCAAAGCAUAAAAUGGACCUACUCGAGGCCUUAAAACAAACAUAACAACAUCGAAACCACGAACCAUAACUCAAUUUGAAAUCAUUGAACUUUGAAACUUCAACUUCCACAACUGAUGUUGAAACCUAUCAAAUCACGUCUGAUUGACCUCAAAUCUUGUACACAAGUCACAUUUGAAAUUACGGACCUGAUCCAACUUCUGAAAUAAAAAUCGGACCCCGGUAUUAAAAGUCCACUCCCGGUCAAACUUUCCAAAAUUCCAACUUUGUCCAUUUCAAGCCAAAUUCCACCACGGACUUCCAAAUCACGAUCUGGACGCUCUCCUAAGUCCAAAAUCACCCAACGGAGCUAAUGGAACCAUCAGAAAUCCAAUCCGAGGUCAAAUAUUAAAUAGUCAAAACUUGGUCAAACCUUUCAAAUUUAAAGCUUCUAGCUGAGGAUCAUUCUUCCAAAUCAAUUCCGAAUAACCUAAAAACGAAAACCGAUGAAUCACACAAGUCUUAUUACAUCAUACGGAGCUACUCAUGCCCUCAAACAACCGAGCGAAAUGCAAUUGCUCAAAACGACCUGUCAGUUCGUUAUAUCCUCCCCACUUAAACAUACGUUCGUCCUCGAACAUGCCUAGAGUUGUUCCAAAACCCACAAAUCGUUGUAUAAUCUUGAUACUCACAUACCCAGGGGUGAUCCCACGUCACCCUAUCCCAUAUAGGUCUGAUAACACAACAUAAUUGAGAUUUCAUAAUCCAACCUAGCCCAUAAGUUUUGAAUCCAAUUUCCCUCAUUCGAAAUUUCUAUAAGAUCAGAAUCUCGCAUCCACACACUGUACAAGUUUGAACAAGCUAUAUCAAGCCAUAGCCAUAACCCAAGAUGAAAUCACAUGAUAUACCACAUAACUCAAACACUCAUAGCAAUAGUUUCUAAUCAUAGUAGCUGCUCAAAACAACCCAAUACCGGUAAUAAACCUCUUAUCAAUAAAGCCUCAUUCUAACACCUUCAUAUACUUCCAAUAAUGAAAUAAACACGCAGAAACGCAUAACCAUUCAUCACGUCAAUAAGUCAUGGAGCUCCCUCUUCUCCGACAGGAACUAUAACAGAUUUCUAAGCCGACUUUCGAUAUUAUCCUUCUAACCAUGUUGUAUUCAAUUCAGAUAGUAUUUAUUCUAGGUCCAAUGACCUCAUCUCAUCCAACAUGGCCAUUCUGGUUACAUGACGCAUCAAUACUAUCCAAAGCCAUAACCUGUGAAAUUCGUGCAUCCAAUAGCAAUAUCCCAAAUGUACUAAAUCAUGAAAAUGAAACAAGAGAACUAUCCCGCCAGCCUAACAAGUACCAUCACGACACCAUGCUAAGAGCCUAGCACACAUCGUAGAACCAAAACAUACGAAUAUGACACCAAGGAUCAUAUCUUAACAUAACUUCACUGCAAUGCGUGACCCCAUCCAAAUGCCGAUCCAUUUUAUUUACCUCGAGUUAGCUUAGUCAAAAUCAAUAACCACACAAAAUUCGACAUCAAGUACCCAAAGUGCAUUACCACAACCACAAAGAGAAAAUAAUACAAUGCCACCAUCUAAAAAGAACAUAGCCAACACUCAAUCAAUCACGCAAUACCCGAAUACUCAUCUUGCUCAAAUUUCCUCUAUAACCCCAAAUAGAACCACACCAUCUGUGCAUAAAACCAAUGAUUCACAACUCCUCGUAACAUAGAAGGGUAACUCACAGAUCAUUUCAGAACACAAAUAAGCUUAAAAACAACUGAAUAGCACAUCCAUCAACAAUAACAACAUGAAGCCAACCAAUCCGACUCGGUGUAUAACACACAUCCAUAUCAGGCUUGCCAAUGAACCCCAAAUCAACUCUCAUCACCCACAAUAGAUAAAUAACCCUCUAAAAGUCCAUAAUGACUGAAUCCCCACACAUACUAUCUUCUGAAAAGCCUUGGUUACAUUUUCAUAGUCCACAACCACGAAGCAAUCUACUCAUGAGAAUUUCCAGCCUCCAAAUCCAUAAAACACACAAAUCACCAUAUCUGGUCUCAACUCUACUGCCUGAAUAUCCAACACUUCUCCAAUACACGAUCAUCCCAUGAGGCAUACCUCUAUAAUUCUUCUGUGCUGCAAAGAAAACUUUGAACACCAGCAGUCGGCCAACUAGGAGAGUACCGCAAUACUAAUGAAGUAUCCAUAAUUCGAAACACAUCGUCCCUUUUAAUAUGUAUACUCUCAUCAAGCCAUACAAAUAGUAAUAUCAUUUACCUAGUCAUCUGAAACUGUCCAUGCUGCCUAAGAUUUAUGAUAUUCCUUUCAUAACUAAACUGUGACCUUACACAUGCAAAUCUCAAUCCUACACAAUAUACCGCAUAUACAAUGCCAUCCUAUGAUAACUAUUAGAACUUCAUAAUCCACUCUGAGUCAUAAACAACUACAUAAUCAACUAGCCAAUAACAUUCCAUUUGAUCCCAUCUAGGAGAAAAUGACUAUAUAUCACAUGCUCCUCACGCUAGUAGAAAAUAUACAUCUCUAACCGUGGUAGAAACCAUCAAGAACUCUGCGAAUUGCAUUUGCACAAAACCAAACCAUCAAGACUGAAUCCUUCUAACUCAACCCAGACUCACCACAGGAUGCCCUAAAAUAAACCACAUCGCCCUAAGGCUCAUAAGUUGCUGAAUACUCUCUUCAAUAUCCCCAAAAAUACCACAUUCAAAAUACUUACAGUGAAGAGACUUUCUAUGAAUCUAAAGCCAUUACCUUCACCUUUUUGAUACUGAUAUGUUGAAUCCAUAAUGAUAUAGUAAUGCCACAAGUAUUGACACCAUCCAAUAUAAACCCAGUUUCUAGCCAAAUACACAUCCUAAAGAUCCCCAAUUGUUACAUAUAAAUAUGGAAUCCAUUAGAAUCAUUCUUAAGAGUCAUCCACUCUACUAAGGUCUCAAUUAAACUGAUCAAAUGAACCGAACGACCUGUGUCCCAUUAGAAACCGAGCGAUUUCCUAUUCCAUACAUGUUACAUCCUUACAAACAACAACUAAAUCAUCCAAUAUUUCUCAUAUGCUUAUAAAACAUAACACAACCCUUAGCAAAAAUUUCCUUUGCUCGAUUCAUCCUCGAUAUCAAUCUCUAUAAGCCAUAACUGAUUCACCAGUAUGCCCCAAACUGAAACCAAUACAACAUAUAACCGUGCAAUAAACUGAUCGAUAGCAGACUCCCCCACUUGGCGCAAAGUCAUAGAUAAAAAACACACAAUAACUCCUAAUGCUCAUACUCUAUUACUGUCAUAAUUUCAUAGUAAGAUUAACUAGAUCCUUCAUAAGCUCAUGCAACACAACCCAUCUAAUACCUCAAAUCAUUUGCAAAUCUCCUAUUCAUCCUCGUAACAGUUAAGCUAACUCUCAUAAGCAAUCCAAACUCAAACUGCAGCACAUAUAAUUCACUGGUAAAAGAGGACUCGCUACAAAACAAUAUAGGGAUCACACACCCUCAAGAUACCCCAUAGGAGAUACCCCACCUACGUCGCCUUAAACUAACAUCUCUUUAUACCAUUCCACCGUCAUAAACAUUACGCAAUCACUUAAUCUUCCUGAGUCUGAACUCAUAUCACGACAUGAAAUUUACUUCACUCCCCAACUAAACAGCAUGAAAAGAUCCUUCAACACACCCAUAACUUAGGGCUAUACAUCAAAUCAAGAUAGAAAUCAAGCACCAAAUAGUUCUUCUUACACCUCAUGUAGACCCUUCUCGUCACAUUCAAAUCAUAUGAACACAUCUCGUAGUCACACCAUACUCAUCACGUAGCCAUCCAGCAAUCAAUUCCACUAAUAGGGACACUAUCACACAUAUAAAUCUAUAAUUACAUGCUUAUAUAAUAAACACCUCAGUGCUCAACCUACAUUCAAAACCCAGCCUAGAGUCCUCCAGACUGGCCCAUUAUCAACACACAGAGAUCAUAUCUCUCACUUCAUCCAGGGAAUCACAAGCCAUCGAUGCACAGCUAAUACCGAGCACUCAUGUGUGCAUACGAAUAUGUGGAAGGAAUUCAAAGGAUUAUGCUUCAAGCUGAAAAAAUGUCGUACGAUAAGGAAGGAAAGAUGGGAAGUAUAUCCUAAAUGUCAUUGUAGCCUAUCGAAGAUAGGUAUGAACGUCAUCAUACCAAUCUAUAAGACUCUACUAGACACUUGCUUAUGACUUGUAGAACCUAUGAACCUAGGGCUCUGAUACCAAUCUAUCACGACCCAAAAUUCACCAGUCGUGAUGACACCUAACUCAACCCGCUAGGUAAGCCAACUAAUAAGUAUCCAAUUCCAAUAAUAUUAAAUAAAUAAUUAAACAUAGGAGUUAUCUAAAUCUUAUAAAAUUCUUAAGGACUGGUAGUACAAAUCAUGAGCUUCUAAGAAUAGAAUUUACAAAGUUAAUAUGAAACAAAUAUAUCUUUUAUUUGAAAAGUACAUAAACAAAGUUUAAUAAUUUUAUGGCUACCAUGAAUAAGAGGCAGCCACAACCGGAACACAGGUACAUCUUCCAAUUUAGCUCAUAUCGGACUCAGCAACAUUGCCAUUCGAAGUCUGCACGCAAUGUGCAGAAAGUGUAGUAUGAGUACAACCGACCCCAUGUACUCAAAAAGUAACAAUCCUAAAGUUAGGUUGAAAGCAAUGAUGAGAUGGAACAUAGGUCGUGUCCAACACUAAUAACCAAUAGCAGCUCAUAAUAAUGUAAAGCAAGUACAUAAAGAAGUAGCUCACAGAUAAAAUGCUCAGCCUUUUGAUAUUUUUCCAAAAAUAGUCCUGCCUUUCAAGAAUAUCAGUAAAAAACCCAAAUUCUUUACCGAAAAUGUUAUGAAAUAUGAGAUAGUUUGUAAACUAUGUUUCUCUUUCAGAAACCCCUUUUGCACAAUAAAUAAGAUGUUCCAUUUUUCUUUCCAGAUAGAAGGUGUGUGAUACCUCUCUAUGACCAUAUAUCAAUGUGUGUAAAAAUGUCAUGAAUGAUGUGACAUUGUACUGCAUGAGGAAAAUGCGUCUCUAUACAUGUAUUCCAUAUAUGCAUGCUAAUGCCAUGUAUCUCAGAGAUGAAUCAUGUACUCAGACUCUCAGAUUACUCAACCUCAUGGCAUCCCACUCAACUACUCCGUACUGUAUAUGACCCAUACGGCCGAGGGAAAUCCAUCCCCGAACAUAUACAACACUAUCUAUAAGUUGCGUAGUACCAAGUGUCACGACCCAAACAGAUGGGCCGCGACAGGCACCCGGUACCUUACUCAACCGAAUACCAACGUAACUUAUCUUUCUUAUUACAUUAUCAUAUACACAUGACAUACGAGCCUAAUAGGCCAACAUGAUUAUUUAUAAACCCAAGACAUCGGCCGACAAGGCUGUACAAUCUUUCAUGUACAUGACAUAUGUCUACAAGCCUCUAAGAAUACAUAAAUAUCAUAAAGGUCGGGACAGAGUCCCGCAAUACCAAACAAUACACGUCUAAAUCAUACCAGCCAAACAAGUAGCUCCGAAGCAAAUGGAGCGCACCAACAUCUUCAGCUGAGCUGAUAGCCUACAUGGAGGGCUAUCGACUAUCUAUCGGGACCUGCGGGCAUGAAAUGCAGUGUCCCCAGGCAAAAGGGACGAUAGUACGAAUAAUUUACCAAGUAUGUAAGGCACAUAAAUAAGUACAUAAGAGACAUGGAAGAAAUAUAGAGUACAUGACUCAACCUGUAAGUCUGAAUAACUUUGAAAAUCAUAAAUUACUUUUAGCGUCAUGCAUAUGCGUAUGACUAUCAUGUCGUGCAUAAGUACAUGUUUCAUAACAUCAUCAGCCUCUAAGGGCAUCCCAUCAUAUCAUAUCGGCCACUAUGGGCAAAAUCAUCAUCGUAUACCAGCUGAUCAGGUGGUGGUGCGUAUAUAACGCCACAGCCUUUCCAAUAUCCCAUAUACAUAUACAUACAUACAUAUAUAUGCGUAUAUAAUGCCGUUUGAGUACAUAUAUAUAUAUGCGUAUAUAACGCCAUUUGCAGCAUAUUUCAGCCAUUGUGGGCAACAUCAUCAUCAUAUACCAGCUGAUCAGGUGGUGGUGCGUAUAUAACGCCUUAACCUUUUCCCAUAUCCCACAUACAUAUAUUUACAUAUAUACGCGUAUAUAACGCCAUCUGGUCAUGGGUCAAUGAACAUGAACUCAAUGCAUGUAAAGUACGUCAAUAAAAUCAUUUGAAAUGUCAUAAGACCAUUUGUCUCUUGAGCAAUAUCAUAAAGUAACAUUUUUUCAACUUUCGUAUUUUUCUGAGACCCAUGAAUAGAUGAUAAAAUGUUAUGACACAUGGAAAUUAAAUAACAUAGAUAUUUCUAUUACUUCUAUGAGUAGAGUCACUUAUGGAAUUUGUGUAUUUGCACGUUUUGUUCAUAUCGUAUGGAUCAUGCCAAAAGAAAGAAGGGACAGGCUUAACAUACCUAGCAACUGUUCUAUGAAUAAGUUUAAAGGCCAGGGCAUUCCCCCCUUUAGGCCUCUUUCCCAUGCCAUGACUUGUGAUCGAGUUCCUUCUAAUCUCGUAACUGCUGCUACCUUCCAUUAUGCAGUUUGUACAACACUGACCUUGUAAGUGUGCCUAUGCGACUCUUUGCUCCUUUUUCCUCUAGCUUUUAGCCAAUCCUGAAGUUCUUCACUUGGUAUUUUAUCGAACUUAUGAAUACUGCUAUAUCUUAUUUUGUAGACCUGGUUAUCUAUUCGUAUGACUUUACUGCAUCUACAUAGGUUAUACUAUACCAUAGCACUUACCUCGAUUUCUCGUUACGGAUGUCUGCUGCCAAAUCUCAGGUAACUUUUAUUGCUUAUCUCGUACGUACAAAUCUAUGUCCUCUAAUGCACCCACAUUACUGUUCAUCUUUAAGAAUGACGACCUAAUCUCCCCUCAUACUUUAUAACUUUUAUCCAUCAGUUGUUGAUUCACCUCAAUAUUCAUUAACAAUAUACCAUUAAUAACUUGCAACCUCUUAUGUAAUCAUUAGGGUUCAUGUUGCAUCACAGAACAUUUAAAUUGAUUUUUCCGAUCCACCUGGGGAUGAUACGAUAUUAUACUUCCAUAACCAUAUUUCAUAGUAUCCCAAUGUGAUUCCCUUACAUGGGUAUUUUAGUCACGUACAAUUAUCGAAAUCCCUUUAUUUAUCACAAUUACACCCUCAUUCUAUUAUCAGGGUAGCAUUUCAUCUCCUCUAAAUGCUACUAGUCAUAGACUCCUUUAUUUUCACAGUCUUAAUCCCGAAGACACAUCCAUUUCCGUCACCUUCUCCCUUGCCUUUUUCUUAUCCUUACUCUUGUAUUUCUACAACUUUGUCUUUCUAUCAUACUUUAGCUUGCGAUCGAUUCCCUUAUGCUUUUCUGGAACAUCAAGCGAGACAUUGCAUCGUCUCUAACUCUUCUUUUACUCUGUAAUUAGACCUUUUGGUACUUAGAAACCGUAGGUUGGAAAAUAUGCUACUGAUGAUGCUGCUAUAAUCCCUGGAUACUGAAUCCCGACGUUUCUAGUCUUUUACCUAAAGUAUGGCCCACUCUCAUUCUCCUACACUUGUUGUCCACCUUUACCUUACUUACUUUAAAAUAUCACCUUACAUUUUUUCUAUCUUUCUUUCACAACCUACUAUCCACAUAGGUAUAAAUCACAUCUACCACUUGAAGCUCUAUUACAAUACUUGCACCGUUGGUGCCUGUACAAUCCGGUGGAAGCUCCAUACUGAUUUCUUAUGAGGAUGGUACUUCUUCUAACUGGAUUUAUCGUAAAGCCGUUAUAGAAUAUAGUUGUUGUUUUAUCUCUCUUGAACCUCUAAUAUUAAGAGUGGCUUUGUUAUGUUCUCAAUUAUGAUUUUUAUAACUUAUGGGUCCAAUAAUCGAAUUCCUGAUUUACUUCGUUGAUGUAAUCCUUUUAGUUUCCUCCUUUUUUGGAUCGGCAUUUAUGUUGGGCUAAGUUACCUCCUGAUCUAUGGUUCAUGGUAUUAGUUAUUCCGUUUAGCCUUUUCAUGGGCGAUGAGUAAUAUACAUGAUACAAUCCUUUCACAAUUUAAUCUUUCGUCUACGACCUGGGUUCAAUUCUUUCUUUUAACAUAUACCAACAUCUUCUAUGGCUAUAUAUGUUGCAUGUAUAAAAGUCCGAACCCUUAAGUGUGUUCAUAACAUAACCCACCCUAGAUCAUUGAUCGAAUAAUUUCUUUCGUUCCAUGUUAGCUUUCUUUCAGCAUAAGCUAUUACUUUUCCUUGUCUUUUUUCCUCCUUGUUGCAUCCAUACUUAUCUUAUCUGAAUGCCACACAUGCCAUAGUUUUCAUACAACUCACAUAAUCUCGAAUAUUACUUUUAAUUUUACUUUCCGUUCAUUAGCUACGGUAGGUGCCACUUUCCUUUGGGGUACUUAUAAUGUUGUUGUGAGACUGUGGUUACAUGACCAUUUCCUCUUUAGGUCGUUGUUCUUAGGUUGAAGCCUUCUUCAUUAAUUCCUUAGCUAGUCUUUCAUUGUAGUACUUAGGGAGAACCCUUGUCUCUCGUAAAGCUAGGAUAUUAUUACUGGCCUUUUAGAUGUCCUCCCUUGCUAUAAUCAUCCGUAGUUGCUUACCUCCAAACCCUUGUGCUUGUAGGGUUGCUUCUGAACUGAAAUUUUGACUGCCUUCCCACUGGCACUUUCUUUUAUCCAUGUAACACUCAUACGAUACAUUUAACUACUCUGACUCAUAUUUGAAUAUACCUCAAGUAUUAUAAUGACAUUACUGCGAGGCUAAAUUUUCCAUGUUGGGGUUUACUACAUUUAUCUUGCAUGAGUUGCUAAUUUGUCUGUAACUUCUUGUAUAGCCAUAGCUAGGCUCUUCCUAAAUCAACUACUAACUACUUAUCCGCCCCGUUCCUGUAUCAAUAUCCCGCGUAAUCUUUCUUGGGUUAUUUUCUUUGUCUUAACUUAGCCCUCGCACUAAUUCCUUAUUAAUCAGUAAUAUCUCGGGCAAGAACCCUUACUUCCUCUCCUUUACAUCNNNNNNNNNNNNNNNNNNNNNNNNNNNNNNNNNNNNNNNNNNNNNNNNNNNNNNNNNNNNNNNNNNNNNNNNNNNNNNNNNNNNNNNNNNNNNNNNNNNNNNNNNNNNNNNNNNNNNNNNNNNNNNNNNNNNNNNNNNNNNNNNNNNNNNNNNNNNNNNNNNNNNNNNNNNNNNNNNNNNNNNNNNNNNNNNNNNNNNNNNNNNNNNNNNNNNNNNNNNNNNNNNNNNNNNNNNNNNNNNNNNNNNNNNNNNNNNNNNNNNNNNNNNNNNNNNNNNNNNNNNNNNNNNNNNNNNNNNNNNNNNNNNNNNNNNNNNNNNNNNNNNNNNNNNNNNNNNNNNNNNNNNNNNNNNNNNNNNNNNNNNNNNNNNNNNNNNNNNNNNNNNNNNNNNNNNNNNNNNNNNNNNNNNNNNNNNNNNNNNNNNNNNNNNNNNNNNNNNNNNNNNNNNNNNNNNNNNNNNNNNNNNNNNNNNNNNNNNNNNNNNNNNNNNNNNNNNNNNNNNNNNNNNNNNNNNNNNNNNNNNNNNNNNNNNNNNNNNNNNNNNNNNNNNNNNNNNNNNNNNNNNNNNNNNNNNNNNNNNNNNNNNNNNNNNNNNNNNNNNNNNNNNNNNNNNNNNNNNNNNNNNNNNNNNNNNNNNNNNNNNNNNNNNNNNNNNNNNNNNNNNNNNNNNNNNNNNNNNNNNNNNNNNNNNNNNNNNNNNNNNNNNNNNNNNNNGUGUUUGCAUAAUACUCUGGUAUCGUAGCAUAUCUGUAGUCUUUGAGUAAGUGCAACCUCAUCCCUUUUUCGUUUUAUCGCAUUCUUCCUUUAUCAUUUCAUAUUCCCCCCUUUAGGGGAGUACUAAGACUUGGAGCUAUGACGGCCUGCCUAUAAAUGUUUUGCCUCUUCAUCUUUGACAUUCUUUCACAUUAUUGAUGACCCUUACUUGCCUUGCGGUAAUCCUUCUGUACCAAGGAUAACAAAAUUCCUUAUUCGCAAGAGUGGCACUUAGUGUAACUAGCACACAUAGUCUCUUAAACUUAUCUUUGCUCAUAUUUCUUGCUCUAAGGAAGCGUUUCCCUGAAUAACUAUUCUCUGAAUUCAUUGUGAAUCUUCUUCUGUGGUCCAUUCUAUUACUGCCGGAACAAAAUCUGAAACUCCUAUGAUGCCGAGUAUUUUCUAAUCAUUCAGUCCUUAAUUCAUAUUUAGUUUACCUUGUUUACCAGUCCAUACCGAUUUCUAUUACUCUAGGAAUUAACUCUCCCCUUUGGUAGUCGCGUUGGAGUCACGAACUUAUUUCUCAAAAUGAGGAUAUAACCUUAUGGCCUAUAUUCUUUUGUUGUCUCAAGGCCCAUCGCCUUUCGUCUCUUCCUUCAUUGACUAUAGGUUCUGUAACAUUCUACCGUUUUCAUCCAUGUAUCACACCUUAUUCAUAAUGUUUCCUUAUCUCUCUCUCAUUAUUCUGCUAAUAUUUCUGCAUAUUCCUUUUCUUGUGAAAACUUCAAUAUGACAUUCUUUCGCUCUUAGCUUUCCUUUGCUCCAUCUAGUGGAUCUUCAAGUUGCUUAACGUUCUCGCUUUACUAGGGACACGAGCAAUACUAAGGUAAUAUUUAUCCCUUCAAGGCUUAUAGUGCAUGUCUUUGAAGUACUCAUAUCUGGCUGCACUAUUUUAAAGUGUACCAUCUGGGUAUCUCACAAGGAGAUCUAUUAGCACAUUUGCCAUAUCCUUCAAAAAUGUCAACUAACACAAACAAUUCAUUCAUCAUAUCUUCUUAUACUAUUUCUAUUAACCCUUAUAGGGCAUAUCUGGAAUGGGUGCGCCAAUUGUAUAUACCUCUAUUACAUUUGAAUAUAACUCAAAAAGCUUAUGUUCCUCUGCUUGAAUUAUAAACACUAUUAACCUUUGUUAAUUGGGCACCUCAUACCCUUCUUCAUCUUGCUUCUUUUACUUGCAGAAACUUGUACUUAUCUUCUUAAUUUCUCAUUGUCCUUCACCAUAAAGAUGGAUAGACAUUCUUACCUUGUGGCUUUUUAUCAAGAAGCUUACACCUUUCAGCACACACAUGAUUUGCUGAAGACCUUAUAUUUACUUAUCAUAAGCAUCAUACAAAGUUGAUCAUCUUUCUGAACGUAGACAUUAUCUUAUUACGAAUAAAAAUACAAGCUCGAGACUUGAAUUCUUAUAGUGAGCUCUACCACACAAUCUAGAGUAAAAAGAAAGAGUGACUGUCUUAAAUGCCCUGUAGCCUCCUGCUUAUAAGUGUGGUGUACAACACACUCAUAAACAAGACUCUACUAGACACGGCUUGUAGACUUCCUAGGACAGAACUGCUCUGAUACCACUUUUGUCACGACCCAAAUCGAUGGGCCGCGAUAGGCACCCAGUACCUUACUCAACCGAGUACCAACGUAAUGUAUCUUUCUUAUUACAUUAUCAUAUACACAUGACAUAUGGGCCUAAUAGGCCAACAUGAUUAUUUAUAAACCCAAGACAUCGACGACAAGGCCGUACAAUCUUUUACGUACAUGACAUAUGUCUACAAGCCUCUAAGAAUACAUAAAUAUCAUAAAGGUCGGGACAAAGUCCCGCCAUACCAAACAAUACACGUCUAAAUCAUACCAGCCAAACAAGCAGCUCCGAAGCAAAUAGAGCGCACCAACAUCUUUCGUUGAGCUGAUAGCCUACGUGGAGGGAUCUCGAUUAUCUAUCGGGACCUGCGGGCAUGAAACGCAGCGUCCCCAGGCAAAAGGGACGUCAGUACGAAUAAUGUACCAAGUAUGUAAGGCACAUAAAUAAGUACAUAAGAAACAUAGAAGAAAUAUAGAGUACAUGACUCAACCUGUAAGUCUGAAUAACUUUGCAAAUCAUAAAUUACUUUUAGCGUUAUGCAUAUGCAUAUGACUGUCAUAUCGUGCAUAGGUACAUGUUUCAUAAUAUCAUCAGCCUCUGAGGGCAUCCAUCAUAUCAUAUCGGCCACUGUGGGCAAAAUCAUCAUCGUAUACCAGCUGAUUAGGUGGUGGUGUGUAUAUAACGCCAUAACCUUUCCCAUAUCCCAUAUACAGAUAUAUACAUACAUAUAUACGCGUAUAUAACGCCGUUUGAGUACAUACAUAUAUAUAUGCGUAUAUAACGCCAUUUGCAGCAUAUUUCAGCCACUGUGAGCAACAUCAUCAUCAUAUACGAGCUGAUCAGGUGGUGGUGCGUAUAUAACGUCGUAACCUUUUCCCAUAUCCCAUAUACAUAUAUUUACAUAUAUACGCGUAUAUAACGCCAUCUGGUCAUGGGUCAAUGCACAUGACCGCAAUGCAUGUAAAGUACGUCAAUAAAAUCAUUCAGAAUGUCAUAAGACCAUUUUGCCUCUUGAGCAAUAUCAUAAAGUAAUAUCUUUUCAACUUUUGUAUUUUUCUAAGACCCAUGAAUAGAUAAUAAAAUAUUAUGACACAUGAAAAUUAAAUAACAUAGAUAUUUCUAUUACUUUUAUGAGUAGAGUCACUUAUGGAAUUUGUGCAUUUGCACGUUUUGUUUAUAUCGUAUGGAUCAUGCCAAAAGAAAGAAGGGAUAGGCUUAACAUACCUGUUCUUGAAAUUAUUUGAACAAAAUGAAGCUUUCUACUUCUUGCGAAAUAUGAACGAACCUAUUCUUGGAUUGAACAAAAUUAGACUGAAAUUUCAAUCGAACAAAAUUAGACUCAACCACUUAUUUAUAAUGGGGAAGAUUAUUAAUCUUUACUCACUUAUUAGUUAACUGGGUAAUGUCCCAUUACCCGAUAAGUAAUCAAUUACCCGCAUAAUUUGAAAAUUGUCUCAACUUAAUUAAAUACUACUCUCUUUUAACAUACCUUGUUCACCUUAUGGUCAUGUAGUACCUUGUGUGGCACUAGUCCAUAAAUACUGGGUAUUUUAGCUUGGGCCAUAUUUUAUCCCAAAAUGCCAAAUUUCAACGAAACUCAUUUUCUUUGACUUGCUUCCCUUUUCAUCUUCACGAAUUUACUUAUCACUCUUUUGAAAUAGCGUAAUACUUAUAAUCCAAAAUAAUCUCAUUCCCGAACUUUGGUCGAUUAACUUAUGAUGAAACUUCAACUUACGAAAAUGCAGGACAUAACAUCUCAUUUUCGAUCUCUCAUUAAUUUAUUUAUGGUAUUUUUCAUGUACGCAAAAUAUGGGGUGUAACACCAAGGAUAAAGGGUAAUCCAACCCUAUGGAGAAAUCCAUCUCGAGGUAUCAAGUAGUUCAGAAAAAUCCAUGCCCAGGGAAAUCCAUCCCUCAAUAAUAUAUAAAUGUCGAACCACCCGGUACCGUAUAUGGCCCAUGAGACCCAGGGAAAUCCAUCCCAGAGCAUACUCAACAAUGACUAAACGUCACUUGGUACCGAGGAAAAAAAGGAAUCUAUCCCUGUAGAGAAAUCCAUCUCCAUAUAUCAAUACUUCAGACAAAUCCAUGUCCAGGAAAAUCCAUCCCUAAAUAAUAUCAUCCGCGGUCAAUGGGGUGUGGUACAAACUCCGGAGGGGCUCCUACAACCUAAGAGCUAUCAUAAUCAUCAAUAUAAUCGCUGCGGCGUGCAGCCCGAUCCCAUAACUGUCACUCCUAAUCAGGCUCUCGGCCUCAUUUAGUCAUCACUCUCCAGUGUCACCCAUAGGAUCAACAUGUCAUGAAAACUGACCCAGAACAAUGAUAUGAUGUAUCUAUAAGUAACAAGGGAGACUGAGAUAUGAUAUGAAUGCAUGAAUGUGACUGAGUUCGAAAUAUCAAUGAAAUCAAUCAGAUGGCAGCAAGAAACGACCAUUAUGGAUCCCAACAAUAUCAGCAUAAAGCCUAAACAUCAUAUCUAGCAUGAUGUACAUCUCAUUUACUUUAUCCCAUGGUGAAAACACAUAUAUCAACAAAAGUAGGGCCACUAUUCAUUAUUGUGGGAACAACAGAUUCACAAUUCACAUGGUGCACACUCAUACGCCCAUCACACAGCAUGUGCGUCACCCCAACACCAAUCACAGAGCACAUAAUUCGGGGUUUAAUACCCUCAGAACUAUGUUUGGAAGAGUUACUUAUAUAAUCAAAAGUGAGUGUAGAACACUUACCCCAAUCCUUGUGAUGAAAAUUGGUCCAAAAAUUGCCUCAAUCUGAGUCCCACAUCUCAAAAUAUUAAGAAAUAAUCAAAACCUCGAUUUUGUAGCUUCUGCCUAGCAGUUUCAGCAUUUGCAGACAAAUAGUCGCAUCUGCGACCAUCGCUUCUGCGGUAAAUUAUUCGCUUCUACGAAAAUAGCCAUUCUGAGCAACCCUCGCACUUACGGUCUUAAUCCGCUUCUGCGACCGCGCUUCUGCGCUCAGGAACCGCAUCUGCAGUUGCGCAUGUGCGUCCAAGCACCCGCACCUACGAUCCUCACACCCAGAUUCCUUUCCUACUUCUGCAAUGACACUGGCAUUUUUGCCGCUCCGCAGGUGCGGUCACACGUGAACCAGAAAAUCUUCAGCUAUGCAACAUAGAGAGAAAAUGAUCGGAACCUCGUCCGAAAUUAAACCGAGCCCCUCUGGACCCAGUCCGAACAUACCACUGAGUCUCAAAACAUAACACGGACCUAUUCGAGGCCUCAAAACAAACAUAACAACAUCCAAAUGAUGAACCAUACCUCAAUUUGAAAUCAUUGAACUUUGAAACUUCAACUUCUACAACUGAUUCCAAAACCUAUCAAAUCCCGUCCGAUUGACCUCAAAUUUGCCACACUAGUCAUAUUUGACAUUACAGACCUGCUUCAACUUCUAGAAUUUAAAUUCGACCCCGAUAUCAAAAUUCCAACCCCGAUCAAACUUUCCAAAAUUCCAACUUUUGCCAUUUCAAGCCAAAUUCCACUACGGACUUCCAAAUCACGAUCCAAAUGUUCUCCCAAGUCCAAAAUCGCCCAAUGGAGCUAACAGAACCAUCUAAAAUCCAAUCCAUGGUCAAAUACUAAAAAGUCAAAACGUUGGUCAAACNNNNNNNNNNNNNNNNNNNNNNNNNCACACAAGUCAUAUUACAUCACACGGAGAUACUCAUGCCCUCAAAUAAUCGAGGGAAGUGUAAUUUCUCAAAACGACCGGUCGGGUCGUUACACUUGAGCAUCAAUUGUAGCUAAUCUGCUGAAGGUAGGUGGCUGGUGCUUCUUGUACCUCUCAAGUCUGAGUUGCUCCGCCUCAGAAGCGGCUGUCCUAGUCUCGUGUUGAACUAGAACUACCGACUGCCUAGGUGUAAUAUCUGGAACCCGGUCGGCCUGAACCCACUGCUCUGUAUUAUCAGCGACGAGAGUCUGUGCUCCUCCCCAGGCCUGAGAUAUGGCUGGAGUAAGUGGAAUCAAUCCAGCCUGAGCUAAGGUGUUGAACCUGCUCAGAAACUCGGCUAGGGUCUCCUGGAGAGUUAUUGCAACCACAGAUGCCUCAUGUGUCUGCCCUCCAACUGGUGCUACUGGGGUCUCCUCUAUAGCAGCUCAUGCGGGUGCUUUGGCUGCACCGCCUGGACGUCUUUGGGCUAUACCCCAUCCCGGGCCUCUCGCGACUCUAGCAAGGGGUGCGGGAUGCAUUGAUCCUCAAACCUUCGCGAACGCGCCCCAUCUUCGCGAAAGCGAAGAACAACUCCCAUUGGGCUCUAAAGUUCCUUACGCGAUCGUGAGACCUCUCUCGCGAACGCGAUGAAGAAAAGUCUGCAACAAAAUACCAGAAAAUCCGCUAUCUUUCACAAGUCCAAAAUGAGUCAUUAAGCAUCCGAAACUCACCCGAGUCCCCUAGGACCUCAACCAAAUGUACCUACCAGUCCUAAAACAAAAUACAAACUUAGUUGAUCCUUUAAAACAACUCAAACAACAACAAAAACAUGAAUCAGCCUCCAAUUCAAACUUAAAGAACUUGAAACUUAAAUUUCCGCAACCGAUGCCUAAACUUAUCAAACCACGUCCGAUUGACUCCAAAUUUUACACACAACUCAUAUUCAACAUCCCGGACAAACUCUAACUUCUAAAAUCAGAAUACGACCCCGAUAUCAAAAAUUUCACUAUCAGUCCAAAUCUAAAAAAAAAUCAACUUUCACCAUUUCAAGCCUAAAUAAGUUAUGAACCUCCAAAACAUGAUCCAGACAUGCCCCUAAGCCCAAAAUACAAAAAGGAGCUAACAAAAUCGACGGAACUCCAUUCCAAAGUCGUCUUCACACAGUUCUGACUACGAUCCAAAUCCUAAGACUUAAGCCUCCGUUUAGGGACUAAGUGUCCCAAAAUACUCCAAAAACCAAAACGAAAUCUCCCGUCAAGUUACAAUAGCAAAAAUAGAUACAGGGGAAACAAUAAAUAGGGGCUCGCGGCUAUAAAUCUCUAAAUAACCGGCCGGGUCGUUACAUUCCAGUAGCUUUGUAUGAUUAUUUUGGACUUAAACGUAUGUCCAGAAUUGAAUUUGGAAGUCUGUAGGUCAAUUCGACGCAUUUUAGCAAAAAUUGAAAAAUGGAAGAUUUUUGAAAAGUUUGACCGAGAGUUAACUUUAUUGAUAUCAGGGUCGAAAAUCAAUUCCAAAAAUUAGAACAACUACAUUAUGUCAUUUAGGUGUCGUGUGAAAAAUUAGGGAUCAUUCCGAAUUGAUUUGAUAGGUUUCGAAAGCGAAUGUAGAAUUUGACAUUCGUUAGUUUUCAUUAAGCUUGAAAUGAGGUGCGAUUCGGGUUUUAUUGUUUUUAAUAUAAUUUGAGGCAUAGUCUAAGUUCGUGUCAUGUUAUGAGACUUGUUAGUAUACUUGUUUGGAGUCCCAUGGGGCUCGAAAGAGUUUGCUGUUUUGAGCAUGUAAUGAUCGAAAGGUCAAUUUUUAGUUCUAGAGAUUGAAAUUCAUUUUGGAGACUUCCGGGAGUUUGCUAAUGAAUUAUAGGAAUGAUCUUGAAUGUUUGGUCUAAUUUCAUCAGGUACGGAUUGGGUUUUUAGGGCAAAACAUGAGUUAAUUAUUUAACGAGCGAAAUUGGUAUCGCAUUGAGCAAUUGAGCUCCAAAUUUAGUUUUGAUUGAGCAAGUAGGUCUGCAUUAUAAUUUGUGACUCACGGGAAUAAGAAUCAACGAAUUCUGAAUUCGUAUGAUAGAGUUAGAGUCUUUUUAGUGAAACAUAAACUGUUGAUGUAAACAGUUCUGGUGCACAUCUUUAGCGACCAGACUUGGCACCUUUAGUGACGAGAUUGGACUUUUAGUGACCAGAAUAAUAUUUUUAUUGGGAAGAAACUUAAGGACCAAAAAUGGUCAUUUCCUUCAUUUCGUAUUGAAUUUUUGGAGCACGGUUCUUGGGCGAUUUUGAGGAUUUCUUCAAGACAUCAACUUAGGCAAGUGUCCUAUAUCCAAAAGUAAUUAUAUUUCAUAAAUUCAUGGUUAUAUUAUCAUUUAAAAUGGAUUUAAAUGGGAGAAAUUGGAAUUUUUGCAAAAUCUUUCAAAAACAAAAAAUUUAGAUUUGGAGGCCGAAUUGUUAUCGGAAUUUGAUAAAAUUGGUAUGGUUGAAAUCAUAUUGGAAUGGGUGUUCAUAUUUCAUGAAACUUCUGUCGGUUUUCGAGAUGCAGACCUCAUGUUGACUUUUGGUUGACUUUUUAAAUGUGAAAUUCUAAGUUGACGUUUUAUUAUCCGGAAUUGUUUUCGAUGAAUUUUAAUGACGUUUUACAAUUAAUUUGGAUAGAGUUGAGCUGUCCGGAGGUCAAUUAAAGAAAGAAGGCGAUUUUGGAAUAUCGGCUUAACUUCAAAAAGGUAAGCAUCUUGCCUAACCUUGAGUGGGGGAAAUAUCCCUUAGGCAAUGAGCCAUAUAUGGAUAUUGUGUGAUUGGAAGCCAUGUACGCAAGGUGGCGAGUACCUACUCGGGCUUAUAUGUACAAAAUUUAUUGGUUUAAAGUCUUAGGAAUUUUUAUGUAUUAAAUUGGAUAAUUGUCACGACCCAGAUUUCCCACCCUCGGGAGUCGUGAUGGCGCCUACUCGUAGAAGCUAGGCAAGCCACUAAAUAUAGAAAUUUCUAACUCUUCCAUUUUAAUCCUUUUUACAAUUUGAAUUAAAAGGUAAUCAACAUUUAAAUAUUAACGUUAAACAGCACAAGUGAAAGACUUAAAAAACAAAAAAAUAACCAAGCCAGUACUACAAUGCCAAUAUACUCCCCUACCCAGAAUCUGGUGUCACAAUUUUCGCGGACUAUCUACGAUUACUACUUACAAAUGUCUGAAAGAAAUAGAAUCUGUCUCAAAAUCUAAUGAAAACAGAGUACAUAAUAAAGUAUAAGAGAACGUCGGGCCUGCGGACGCCUGCAGGACUACCUCGGGAUCUCUGGCUGGACUGAAGGCAGGCUCCCCAAGUGCUACUGUCCAAAAGCUGCUCCGGAAUCUGCACAUAGUGCAGAGUGUAUCAUCAACACAACCGACCCCAUCUGAUGGUAAGUGUCUGGCCUAACCUUGGCGAGGUAGUGACGAGGCUAGGACCAGACUCCAGAUAAAUAUGUGUAGUUAUAUAAUAUACAGGGGAAAAUUAAUAGGAUUAAACAAUUAACGUGGGAAGGGAUGCAUACUACGGGGGAAAUAUCAAAUAUAUCAGAAACAUAAGAGGAAUACGAGGGAACAAUUCAAGAUCUACAACAAAACAAUAAUAAUAUUAUUGCGGCGCGCAACCCGAUCCCUAUCAUUUAACAUUAUUGCAGCGUGCAACUCGAUCCAUAUCAUUUAAUAUUGUUGCGGCAUGCAACCCGAUCCAUUUAUAUCAGUGUUGUGGCGUGCAACCCAAUACAUAUCAUUUAACACUGUUGCGACGUGCAACCCAAUCCAUUUAUAUUGUUGUUGCAGCGUGCAACCCGAUCCAUAUCAUUUAUAUACCUUUAGCAACAACCAUACCUAGAGUCCCGACAAGGGAUCAACAAUAAACUACACUAUCCCGACAAGGGAUUCGACAGUAAAAGUAAUUAAAUACGUCGCGGCAAGGGAGAAACAGCUAUAACCCAUCUUAACCCAACUUCUACUCAUCUUAGCUAACACCAAUACUCAAUCAUAAGUAAUUUCCACGAAGACAAACUUAAUCCUUGCUCAAUAUCGAGAGUCAUCAAUUAAAGCAUCUGUAGUACAAUGUAAGAACAUAAAAUAAAUUGCAAUUUAAGACUCGCUGUCAUGCUCGAAACCAACGUAUAGACACUCGUCACCAUGCCUAUAUGUCGUACUCAACAAGAAGAAAAUAGCAAAUAGGACACAACUCUUAAUACUUCAAGCUAAGGUUAGACCGAACACUUAUCUCGAACUUCCACGACCAACUCAAGCCUCAAACACCACCUUUCCUUUCAAAUUCAGCUCCAAAUAAAUUGUAUCUAGACAUAAUCGACUUAAUAACAUCAAUAAAUGUUAAAAAAUCCAAUUCCAAUGCUUAAUUAUAGCUUUCCCAUCAUUCUUCCCAAAAAAUCAAAAAUUGACCCCAGGCCCGCUUGGUCAAAACACGAGGUUCAGACCAAAAUUCGAUCACCCAUUCACCCACAAGCCCGAAUAUAUAUUUUGAUUUGAAAACCGACCCCAAAAUGAGGUCAAAUUCCCAAAUAAUCAAAAAGUCCUAACUCUACCCAAAUCCCUAUUUUUCUACCCUUAAUCUCAUGUUUUUGGCCUAGAAAUCUAGUGGGUAUUGAUAAAAAUGGAAGAAAACGAGCUUAGGAUUACAUACCUAUGAAGCUUGGUGAAGUUCCUCAUCAAAAAUUGCCCAAGAGGUGUGGAAAAGAUGAAUUUUAUGAAAAAUGGUGGAAUUCCCGUAAUGCAUUCUGUUUUUGGAACUUAAAAUAACUGGGCGAAUUUGGUCUUCGCGUUCGCGACAGGCUCAUCGCGUUCACAAUGAGUUAGGCCUGAGAGACCUGCGCGUUAGCAUAAGUGGGCUCGCGAUCGUGGAGCACUUAAUCCUCGAGCCUUCGUAUUCUCGUCCAGGCGGUCUCGUUCGCGUAGGUAUAAUACCCCUCCCCCUGCCCAGGCUCAUAAGCCAUCGCAUUCGCGUGUGCUUGGUCGCGUUCGCGAAGGGUAUCCCCCUUAGCCUCGCGUUCGCGUCACCAGCUUCGCGUUUGCGAAGUAGAAAUUUGGCACCUGGGAGAUUUGCCUUACACAUUCGCGAGUGUGCCCACGCGAAUACGAAGAGAAAAAUUCCUGGGCAUUGAACAGCAAAAACCUGCAACUUUUGUGAGUUCAAAAACCUUCCGAAACACACCAGAGCCCUCAGGGCUCCAAACUAAACAUACGUACUAACUCAAAAAUAUUAUAUGAACUUAUCUGUGCAAUCAAAUCACUAAAAUAACCCCUUAAACAACGAAUUAAACCUCAAAAUCAAUGAAAUAUUUCAAAACUUCUUAAAACAUCAAAUUUUGCAUUUAAGGUCCGAAUCACGUCAAACGGAUUCCAUUUCUUACCAAACUCACAGAAUUAUCUUAAAUCACAUGUAAGACCUGUACCGGGCACCGGAACCAAAAUACGCGUCCGAUAUCAACAUGUUCUAAUAAAAAUUCAUUUCCCAAUCCUUUAAACAAUUUCAGAAAAAUAAUUUUCUUUAAAAAUUUAUUUCUUGGGCUUGGGACCUUGGAAUUCGAUUCUGGGCAUAUGCUGAAGUCCCAUAUUUUCCUAGGGACCCUACGGGACCUUCAAAUUAUGGGUUCGGGUCCUUUUUCCCAAAACAUUGACUUAACUCAAAUUAAUUCAUUUUAUAGUCAAAAUUUAUUAUUUUUCAAAAGAUUUCACAUAUAAGCUUUCCGACUACGUGUCUGGACUACGCACACAAAUCGUGGUGGCACUAAAAGAGGUUUUUAAAGCCUCAGAACGCAGAAUUUAUUUUAAGGGUCAUCACAAUAAUUGUUGGCAUUUAGUAAAUCCUUGAAUUGUCAUGCCUCAUUCCUUAUCCAUCGAGUCUGUAUUUUUUUUAUGAUAAUUUGGUGUGAUUGUCACUUGGAUUUUUAUGUGAAUUCCAUGUGUUUAUUGAUUUGAUAUAUUCUUGGAACUAAUAUUGAUUAUGGAUUCAUUAUCUGCAAAUAAUUAUUAAAUAAGUUUAAAUUGAGGUGUUAAUAUAUUUAUCUAAAAAAAUGGAUUUAAGAAGGCGUUUUUCCUUGAUGAGUUAAUUUUCAGUUCAUGUUGUUGAAAUUGGUAUUGAGUUAUAAAGGUUGUAAAUCAUAUUGAGGCAAAGUGUUAAAUUGUGAAAUAUUAUUCAGUUGAGUUGUUCACUCUCGAAUAUUUUUAUUAAGAUUUUGUGCACAUUAUGAUCGAUCAAUGAGCUCCUUAUUGGGGAAAUUAAUGUAUUGCUGAUUUUUGUGGCAAGUUAUAACAUUUGAGAAUCUGAUGUGCAAUUUGUGAUAUUGGCAAGUGAUAUUGUUGAGAGGUUUGUGCGGGUGUCUGCACGAGGUUUUGUCGUGCUAUUGUAAUUAUUGAUAUAUGCAUAUGCGGUGUGACAAGGUAGGAUAUAUAUGUGUGGGUUUGAGCAUGUGGCGAGACAAGGUGGGAAUACUAUUAUGCGCGUGUGGCGAGACAAUGCAGGCAUUUACUUUAUUAUUGUGCACGUGGCGAGACAAGGUGGAUUAUGUCGGAGAUUGAUUUGUGAUGACUUCUGAUGGCAUGGGAGCUUUUUUGUUGAAAUUUAUUUAUGAUUUGGAACUACGACGCGGUACUUCAGGAGUGCCCUUUUGUUGAUAUUUCUCUAUGGCUGCACUUGCCUUUGGUUAUUUUGUUUCUCCGUAAUAUGUAAAUUCAUGUGUUCUCUGUGAUGUAUUAUUUGACUUAAUAUUAAGUGUUUUGUAUUUCGUGUAGUAUUAUUCCAGCUUGAGCUUUUUCUUAUGAGACUCUGAGCAUUUGUAUUUAUGGUUUGUACUUAUUCUUAAUGAUUGAGUAGUUUUGAAUACACGAACUACUAUUAUGUUUUAAUUUAAUAAUUUUUAUAUCCAAAUCAAUAGCUUAUUUUAUGCUUUAUUUUAAUUGAAAUGUUAUUUUUCUUCACUCAAACUAUUUCAAAAUAAAUUUAUUUCUGUCACGAUCCAAUUUCACUUAUCAUUACCGCUAGGUAAGCCAACUAGUGGGUUCAACAUAUAUUUCCUCUUUUAAUAAAUUUUCGAAUAAUUAAACUUUCAUUACUUGCAAGAUUUAAGAAAAAUAGAAAUUCUAAAUAAAUAUAAAAACUCAAAUAAUAAUUUCAAUCCAUAAUUCUACUAAAGUAUGUGCCAAGAUCCAAUGUCACAAGUGUAUGAACAUAUAGUAAAUUAUACAAAAUUAUAAAUACCAUAUGAACAUAAAAUACAUAGAAUACAAAUACAAAGAGAGACACUAAGUGCUGCGGAAUGGCUCAGAAAAGGAAGCUCACAACUAGGCCUCGGAUAAUGGGGAUGCGUACCGGUAGGACCGCCUGAUGCACCUGUCUCAGAUCCUGCACAAAAAGUGCAGCGAGUGUAGCAUGAGUACGUAAAUAAUGUAUAUACAAUAAGUAUCAAGUCUAAUCUUGAAGAAGUAGUGAUGAGAGAUCGACUUCGACACUCACUAUGGAUCAAUAAUAUUAAGAUAGAAAUAUUUAUAUAAACACUAUUUAAGUGAAUAACAAUAAAUUCCUUAACAAGCAGAAGCAAUUAAUUCUUUCACAAUUUAAUAAUUUCCAAUAAGUCAUUUAUCUUCACAAGUCGCCAUAAAAUGAAAUAGGACCAUGUAAUUGUUAUUAUUAAGCACGAUUUGUACCGAAGUAGUAUGACCCAAUCCAGAGUGAUGUCUACACUGCCAAGGGACGUGCGUCAUGACCCAUAGAUUCAUAUAUCUACUAUUGAGGCGUUCGACUCGCUCCACAUGAAGCGAAGGAUAUUUUAUAAUCAUUUGACUUAAACAUUAUAAAUGAUUUAUAUCCAAGGUAAUGCAAAUUCCAUUAACAACCUUUCAAAUUUCUCUAACAAGUUCUAAUAUAAUUUAGGUAUUUUAAUUUAACAAGUAUAGUGCAAAAUACCAAAUGGAUUAUGAAUUGGGUCGUAAAGCUACCCAAACAAUAGCAUAAUAGUAGCUACACACGGACUCUCAUCACCUCGUACGUACGUAUCCCCCACAAUAAAAAACAAAUAUUUAUUUACAUAGCUAUGGGGUAAAUUCCCUCUUACAAGGUUAGACAAGAGACUUACUUCAUCUCAAAGUUCACUUUCUGAUCACAAUAUUUCAUUAAAGUCUCAAUUUGGCGCCGAAAAAUCCGAAACUAACCAAAUGUUAUAUAAUUUAAUCAAUACAUGCUCAAUAAUUCGAAUUAGAUUAUUAGAUUAAUCACCGAACCCAAAUUGGUAAAAUUCCUAAACUUCACCCCAGGCCCAUGUUCCCGGAUUUCGAAAACAUUUGGAGGAAGCCGUCAUCCAUAGCCUUAAAAACUUAUAUAUAUAAUUUUCAUCCCAUUCCAUAACUAUUUUGGUGGUCAAAAUCUCAUUUUUAUCAAAACCUAUGUUUUUCAUCUAAAUCCUUGAUUUCCACAAUUUACAUGUUAUAAUCUACACAUAAUCUAUGUAUUUAACACACAAUAGGUAGAAUUAACUUACAUCCAAGUUGAUAGGUAAAUACUCCUCUCAAGAAGCUCCAAAUUUUCCCAAGAAUGGAGAACACUGGGUUAAAAAUACUCAAACCCCAACUUAAAUGAAGGUUCUGCCUUCAGUGAGUUUUGCACAUGUAGAGCCUCAACCGCACCUGCGCAAAUCUCCCUGCAUGUGCGAGCUUCCCCCACCUGGACAGGCUCCAUACCAGCGGACCAAAGGACCACUUCUGAGCGUCCGCGGGUGCAACAAAUCCUUUACGUCUGCGACCACUCUGCUAAUGCGAUUGCUUGCUUCGCACCUGCGGGUUCAUAAGCACACCAAAACUUCCGCACUUGCGGAUGGUUGGGCUUCCCUCACUGGUUCACAUCUGUGGCUCAUGGCUCACACAUGCAACUGUCCAUGCGCAAGUGAGAUUGCAUCAGAAGCUAGAAGCUUAAGUUGUUUCUCCCAAGUCCAAACUUGGUCCGAGCUUCGUCCGGCUAACACCCGAGGCUCCCGGGGCCCCGCUCGAAUAUACCACCAAGUUUGAAAUCAUAAAACAGACUCCCUCGAACCCUCAGAAUAUGUAAUACAAAAUCAAAACUAAGAAUCAUACCUCAAACCAAAUUGAUUCAACUUAGAAAUUUCAAAUUCCUGAAACUUACUCUGAACGCACUGAAACAUACUUAAACUACUCGAAUUGACAUGAAAUUUUGCGUGCAAUUAUUAAAUCACCAUACGAGACUAUUCCCAAGCUCAAAAUUCCAAAUGGACCUCAAUUACUCCAAAAUCUAUGCCAAACCAUAUUUAAAACCCUCAAAGAGCUAACAUUCGCUAUUAGACAUUGAGACGCUCUCGAGUCAUCCAAAACAUGAUCUGAACAUACGCAUGAGUCCAAAAUCAUCAUACAAACCUAUUGGAACCAUCAAAUCUGGAUUCUAAGUUCGUUUACUCAAAACGUUGACCAAAGUCAAACUUGGCCUUUUAAAGACAAACUAAGGAACCAAGUGUUCUAAUUUCAACCCGAACCCUUCCAAUUCCUGAACUAACCAUCCCCGCAAGUCAUAAAACCAUAAAAGCACAUACAAGAAGUCUUAUUUAGGUGAACGGGGUUAUUGAAGGCAAAAUGACCUAUUGGGUCAUCACAUUCUCCACCUCUUAAAUAAAUGUUCAUCCUUAAAUGAGCUUUGAAUCAUACCUGUAGUACUGAAUAAAUGUGGAUAUAUGGACCUCCUCGGCCUCCUAAUUCACUUAAUCGACUGGUUAUCCCCCCAACUGAACUUUUACCGUAAAAAUCUUCUUGAACUUCAACUGGCAAACCUUCCUAUCAACAAUGACAACUGGUUCUUCUUUAUAACCCAAGAUCUCAUCUAGCUGAACUGUGUUGAAGUCUAACACAUGUGAAAGAUCAGCAUGAUAUCUCCGGAACAUAGAUACAUGAAAAAUCGGAUAAACUCUUGAUAGACUAGGAGGCAAAACAAGCUCGUAAGCAACCUCCCCAACUCGUCUCAACACCUCAAAUGGGCCUAUAAACCUUGGACUCAACUUUCCCUUCUUACUGAAUCUCAUGAUUCGCUUCAUCGGUGAAACCUUCAAGAGAAGUUUCUCACCCACCAUAAAUGAUAAAUCGCAUACUUUCUGAUCCGCGUAACUAUUUUGUCUAAACUGUGAGGUCGCUCCUGAAUCAACUUUACAUGGCCCAAGGCAUCCUUCACCAAAUCAGUAUAAUAUAACUUAGCCUCGUCGGGCUCAAACAUAUGAUGGGCGAACCACACCUCCGACCAUAUAAAUCCUCAAAUGGAUCCAUCUUGAUGUUGGAUUAAUAGCUAUUGUUAUAAGAAAACUUGGUCAAAGGAAAGAACAAUCCCACUGACCUCCGAAGUCAAUCACGCAUGCCCUGAGAAUAUCCUCCAAGAUCUGAAUAGUCUGCUCCAACUGCAUGUCAGUCUAUGGAUGAAAGGUUGUGCUAAGAUCUACACGGGUCCCCAAUUCACUCUGUACUACUCUUCAGAAAUGUGAAGUAAACUGAGGGCCUAUAUCUGAUAUGAUAUAAAUUGGUACAUCGUGCAACUGAACUAUAUCUUGAAUAUAAAUCUGGGCCAACCUCUCUAAAGUAUACGUAGUCACAACCGAAAUAAAGUGUGUUGACUUGGUGAACCAGUUGACAAUGACCCAAACUGUAUCAAACUUCUGCAACGUCCGCGGUAACCCAACUACGAAGUCCAUAGUAAUGCGUUCCCAUUUCCAUUCCGGUAUAGUCAUCUGCUGGAGUAGGCCACCUAGCCUCUAGUGCUUAUACUUAACCUACUGGAAAUUUAGACACCUAGAAACCAUGUCCUUCUUCAUCUGCGGCCACCAAUAAUUCUUCCUCAGAUCGUGAUACAUCGUCAGAGCUCCUAGAUGAAUAGAGUACCGAGAACUGUGUGCCUCAUCUAGGAUGUUUUCCCUCAAGCCAUCAACAUUAGGAACACAUAGGCGACCCUGGAGUCACAAAACACCAUAAUUCCUGAUAGUAACCUCCUUGGCAUGACCUCGUAGUAUCGUCUCCCGAAGAACCAACAAACGUGGAUCAUCAAACUGGUAAGCCUUAAUCUGCUCAAAGAGUGAAGACUGCACAACAACAUAUGCAAGAACUCAGCUGGCCUCUAAAAUAUCCAACCUCACAAGUAUGUUAUCCAAGGACUGAAUGUCCAAAGAUAAUGGUCUCUCCUCUGCUGCAAUGAAGGCCAAGCUACCCAUACUCUCCACCUUUUUUCUCAAAGCGUCUGAACUACAUUUGCCUUGUCGAGAAGAUAAAGGAUGGUAAUAUCAUAAUCUUUCAGUAACUCAAGCCAUCUACGCUGCCUCAAAUUUAAGUCUCAAUACUCGAACAAAUGUUGCAACAUGUGAUGUUCAGUGUAAACCUCACAAGACACCCCAUAAACAUAAUGCCUCCAAUUCUUAAGAGCGUGAACAAUUGCAGCCAACUCUAAAUCAUGUACCAUGUAAUUCUUCUUGUGGGGCUUCUGUUGACAUCAGUCAUAUGCAUUAACUCUCCCCUCCAACAUCAAUACAAAACCCAGGCCAAUGCGUGAAGCGACACAAUACACUGUAUACAUCCCAGAUAUGGAAGGCAAUAUCAACACCGGUGCUGAAGUUAAUGCGAUCUUGAGCUUCUAAAAACUCACCUCGCAAUCAUCAGACCAUCAAAAUGGAGUACCCUUCUAGGUCAAUCUGGUCAAAGUUGUUGUAAUAGACGAAAAGCCCUCCACAAACCUACAAUAAUAACUUGAUAACCCCAAAACACUCCUGAUCUUAAUCGCCAAAGUGGGACGAUGCCAAUUCUGAUAUGCCUCGAUCUUUUUGGGAUCAACUUUAAUACCAUCACCUGACAUGAUAUGUCCCAAGAAUGCUAUAGAGUUUAGCCAAAACUCAUACUUGGAGAACAUAACAUAUAGAUUUUGUUCGCACAAUAUCUGAAGAACCACUCUCAAAUGUUGCUCGUGCUUUUCGAUACUACGUGAGUAGAUCAAAAUAUCAUCAAUGAAGACAAUGACAAGAGAAUCAAUAUAUUGCCUUAACACCAUGUUCAUUAAAUUCAAAAACGUCGUCGGGGCAUUAGUCAAACCAAAGUACAUUACCAGAAACUCAUAAUGGACAUAUCUAGUCCGGAAAGUAGACUUCGGAACAUCUGAAUCCCGAAUCUUCAACUGAUGGUACCCCGAUCUCAAGUCAAUCUUAGAGAACACCCUAGAACCCUACAACUUGUCAAACAGAUCAUCAAUACGCAGAAGUGGGUACUUGUUCUUAAUGGUAGUUUUGUUCAAUUGGUGAUAAUCAAUACAUGGCCGCAUAGUCCCAUCCUUCUUCACAAAUAAUACUGGUGCGCCCCAAGGCGACACACUUGUCCUGACGAACCCCUUUGCUAACAACUCCUCAAGUUGUUCCUUCAACUCCUUGAACUAUUUUGGAGCUAUACAGUAUGGUGGGAUAGAUAUAGGAUGGGUAUCUGGAGACAUGUCAAUACAAAAAUCAAUAUCACGAUCUAGUGGCAUGCCUCGAAGAUCUGAAGGAAAUACAUCGGAGAACUCCCGGACUACAAGCACUCGCCAUAGUCUCUACAAUAGUAUCCCGAACAUUGUCUAGAUAAGCGAAACAACCUUUCUCGACCAUGUGUAAAGCAUUUAGAAAGUAAAUAACCUGAUUUGAUGCACUGAUAGACAAACCCUUCCACUGCAACCUAGGCAACUCCAGAAUCGCCAAGGUAAGUGUCUUGGCAUCGUAAUCUAGGAUGGCAUGAUAUGGAGAUAACCAUUUGAUGCCCAGGAUGAUCUCGAAGUCAGUCAUCUGAAGUAGCAGAAGAUCUGCUCUAGUUUUAAAACCAUAAAAUAUAACUUUGAGAGACCGGUAGAUCCGAUCCACAAUAAUAAAAUCGCCCAUAUGAGUGGACGCAUAAAUAGUAGUACCCAAGGACUCACUAGAAACACCAAGGAAAUGAGCAAAUAAGGAUGACACAUAGGAAUAUGUAGACCUUGGAUCAAAUAAUACUGAGACACAUUUGCCGCAGAUAGAAAUAAUGCAUGUAAUAAUGGCAUCUGAGGCCUCUACAUCUGGUCUGGCUGAAAAAGCAUAAAACUUUGCUAGAGCGCCACCUGACUGGCCUCCACCUCUAGGAUGGACCCUACCCACCUGACAUCCUCAUUUCGGUGGCCAGACAAUUGGUGGAGCAACUGGUGCUGUAAUCAUAAGCUGAUGACCCUGCUGCAUCAGCCUACCCUAAAGUCUAGGGCAGAACCUCCAUAUAUGACUGAAAUCCUCUCACUCGAAACAACCCUUCGGUAUGGUAGACUACUAACUUGAAGUCUAUACCUGAUGACCUUAAUACCCACUGGAAGAACCUUGAAUAACUGGUGAGCUGUAAGAACUCUCUAUCAUAACACUAAAAUAAGGUCGCACUGGAACACCCCGAGGAGACGGUGGUGUGGGGUAUCGGGGCCUGCCAACUGACCUCUCAAGAAUAGACCUUUACCCCCAGUUGGGGCACCUCUGAACUUUAAAGAAUAUUGAAAUUUCUUAUUUCUCGUAGCCUACUCUCAGCUAUGCUAACACACAUACUCAAUUUUAUGGUCCAUCUCCACAACCAGCUUAUAAAAAGUCCCUAUCUCAACCUCUCGGGCCACAGUGUCCUGAAUACCAGUGUGAAAACACGCAACAAACCUUUUCACUCUCUCUGCAUCAGUAGGAAGUUUCAUAAGUGCAUGGUGUGACAACUCAAAGAACCUCGCCUCACAAUCAGUCACGAACAUCUGACCCUGUUGGAGCUUCUCAAACUGAAGCCGCAACUCUUCCCUUUAGGGGGGUGGAAUAUCCCUAUCCACGAAAAAAUGGGUGAACUUGUCCCAAGUCAUGGGGGAGAAUUUGCUGGUCUACCAAGAAAAUAGGACUACCACCAUCUACGGGUCCUACCUUCUAGCAAAAAUUUAGCAAAGUCUACCCCAUAAGACUUCAAUAUCCUCAUAUUGUGCAGUCUGUCCCUACACCGAUCAAUGAAGUCCUGGAGUUCCUCAUGUCACUCGUCCCUAAAGAUAGGAUGAUAUAGCCCAUUCUAUCUAUAGAAUAGCUUCUGCGGAUCACUAGCCGUAGCUAGUCUGGGUCAGGUGUAACUGCUACCACUGGCUAGGCUCCGCCAUGAGUAGUGCACCCUAGGUCUGAUAUACUGCAGUUGCAUGCCCAUGAGCCUGCAUGGUAGGGGUUUGUGCUCCCCCUCCCGCCUAAGAUGUUGUUGGGUCUGCGGGAAAUAAACUGGCCUAAGUCAUAGUAUCAAUGAAAUGCAGCAUAUGGCCGACGACCACCAAAAAUCUCGGUGCGGGUGUGAAAUCCACCGAAGCUGGAUCUGCUACAGGCACCUCACCCUGAUCCUUAAUAAUAGGAUGCUCUACUAGACCCACUAGUUGUCACGACCUGACUGAUAGUUUUGAGAGUUAUAGACCUAUUUCCUCCAUUCCUGCUUCUUUUGUGUUUUACGGCUGUAUUUUAUCAUGAGGUUGGUUGGUUCAGGUCGGAGGUGGUUUCGGAUAAUUGGCUUAUGUGUAAAUGGUCUUGGAUUAUAAUUUUCAUGAUUCUGUUAGCUCCGUUAGGUGAUUUUAGGCUUAGAAGCACGUCCGAAAUAUGAUUUAGAGGUCCGUAGUGGAAUUAGGCUUGAAAUGGCGAAAGUUGGAAAUAUGGAAAUUUUGGUCGGUAGUGGAAAAUUUAUAUCGGGGUCAGAACGGAUUUACAGAAGUUCGGAUAGGUUCAUGGUGUCAUUUUUGACGUGUGUGUAAAAUUUGGGGUCGUUCGGACAUGGUUUGGUAGGUUUCGGUGUCAUUUGCGGAAUUUGGAAGUUUAGAAGUUCUUAGGCUUGAAUCCGAGGGUAAUUUGAUAUUUUUAUGUUGUUUUGAGUUAUUCGAAGGUUUGAUCAUGCUUGUAUAGGGUUAUAUGACUUGUUGUCAUGUUUGGUUGAGGUCCCGAGGGCUUCGGGUAGUUAUCGGAUCAAGUUGAAUUUUGGAGAAUGGGCUGAAGUUGGUUGUUGCUAGUGUAAUCACACCUGCAAGGAUAUUGCCGCAAGUACGGUAGGUUAGGCAUGGGUGUGGGAGUGUGUUGGACUUGGAGUACCUCAGGUGCGAUUAGGUGUGCGCAUCUGCGAGCCAUUGGUGACGGCAGAAGCGGAAAUGAGGAGGUCAAGCAGUGGCCGCAGGUGCGAGGUAUUUUCUGCACUUGCAAGGUCACAUAUGCAGAUAUGGAUCGCAGGUGCAAAGUUAGGGUUUUAGUGAUUUUCCACAGGUGCGGAGGUUUUUACGCAAAUGCGGUUGCAGGUGCGAAAGACCUGGGCAGAAACUAUAAAUAUAACACUUCGCGAAUAUUGGUUCAUUACCACCAUUAUCAAGUCGGUUCUUGGAGCUUUUAGAGUUAUUUUGAUAGGGAUUCAAGGGUUUCUCAGUGAGGUAAGUUGCUUAAACUCUAACUACUCCUAACUAUGGUGUUUUCCCGUUGUUUAUUAUCUAAUUCGUUGAAUUUAGGGGUGAAAAUAGGAGAUAGGGCUUGGGAUUUUGGAGAGUUUAAUUUGAAGAUUUGAGGAACCAAAUGAUGGCGGAUUUUGAUAAAUUUCAUAUGUAUGGACUCAUGAGUGAAUGGGCUUUCAAGUUUUUAAACUUUCAUUGGAUUUUGAGGCGUGGGCCCCGGUGGCCGGGCUUGAACCAAUUUCGGGGUUUUGAGUCUAAUUUGGUAGUUUUUCUUGUAGAAUUCAUUCCUUGAGUGUAUAUUGAUGGUAUUGUACUACUUCUGAAUAGAUUCGGAGCAUUUGGAGGCCGAAUCAAAGGCCAAAAGUAUCACGAAGUAGAGAUUUACUCGAUUUGAGGUAAGUAACAGUUGUAAGUCUAGUCCUGAGGGUAUGAAACAUGUGACUAUUUGGAGGUGACACACAUGCUAGGUGACAGGCGUAUGGGCGUGCACCAUUGGGGAUUGUGACUUGGUCCGUCCUAUAGCAACUGUAAAGUUGAAUAUUCUAUUGAAACUAUAUGUUUCUUAUGCGUUUUAGAAAGAAUGACUAUAAAUCAUGAUGGAUGCCAUGUCUAGGCCUUAUCCAGUAUUGUUUGGACCCUUAGAGGUCUUUUCUUGUUGUCCUCUCAAUGUUUUGAUUGAAAACAUGUACUCAAUCUUAGGUUCUUAUGUUCAUUAGAUAUGAAGUUGUUUUGUCAACCGGAAUCAUUGAUUCAUGUUAUCCCUCUUGCCGUUGAAUUGUACUUUUGUGGAAUUAUUGUUAUACAUUAUUUGUUCUUUGUUGAGCUAUUAUUAUAUUGUACCAUUAUUUCCUGUUGUGUCUUUCUUCGUGAGUUCGUACUUCCGUUUCUUUUGUACUCUGAAGUUACGGAGUUGAUUUACUUGUCAUAUUCUCGUGUUAUUGUCAUUGUUGUUGUUGUAUUUAUUUUUGUUGAGCCGAGGGCUAUGUGUGGUUGUGAUAUUGAAACUGUUAUGAGGAAAUAUUGUGGCAUGUGGGCACAUAUUGUGAAAGUGAUUUAUUUGAGUUUUUAUAUUUUGGCAUACAUAUUUUGUUAAGAGAAUUUUUAUGUUGUUUGCAUGAGGUUUCUGUCGUGCGUUGUCAUUGUGUUGGCAUGAUGUUUCUAUUGCGCGGUUGUUAUUGUGUUGCACGAGGUUUUUUCCUUGAUAUUGUUAUUAUUGAUACUCAUGCGAUGGUAUAAGGAGGGCUUGAAACGUGUGGCACGUAGGGGAACUACUAGAAGCCAUGUAGUGUGAUAAGGUAGGCUAAAAUGCGGGAUGUUAUUUCUGAAAAAAUAUUUAUCACAAAACUAAACAUAAAGUCUCCCGCGGUGAUAUAAAGAAAUGUUAUGAUUCAUUUUAUGAUUAGAGACUACGAGGCGGUACCUCUGUAGGGCUCUUGUUAUCAUUUCCCCAUUCUUUUGUACUUGUCUUUGGUUGUGGUAUUCCUCAGCAUAUUUUUAAUUGUCUUCCUCUGUGUUGCAAUGUUUUCUUAGUUCUAUGUAGCAUAUCUUAUUGUGCUUGUCAUUGCGUCCACUUCAUUGCGGUUUUAUUUACACUGUACAUUUCGUGGUGAUCGUUUCUUAUGUUCCAUACAUUGUCUUUACUCUUAAUUGUUGACUUGAAUUGUGGUAGAGCACUUGCAGAAGCAAACACAUAGAUGAAUCACCCAUAUCGGUUUAAAAAGAUGAAUCUUGACGUUAUUUUCCAUUACAUGUACUCUUGUCUACUUGCCUUUUGUGUGAGAGUUGUUCUUUUGGCACGUGAGUCAUCCAUGCGGUUAUGAAUUGUAAUGUGAGCACAAGAUGCCAAGUGAUUAGGGUUCAAGAAUUGGGAUUCGUGAGAUGUGGUUAUGAGGUUCGGUACCUCGUGGAAAUGCUUGAACAAAUCUGGUGUGAAAGUGGUUGUUCUUAUUGAGUUAUUGCUGGUUUUCUUUUAUUUUGGUUUCAACAGACUUAGAUUGUGUCCAUCUUAUUCUAUAGCAUUAUUACCUGACUGCUUCAUGUUAAAUAGUGUUGUUAUUAGUGCCUCGUUGCAAGUAUCAUUUUGUAUUCCUUAUCCUACUUAGUUGUGUAUUAAUAUUGUUUCUAUGUUAGUUCACAUGCACACUUGUUCAGGUUGUUUAGUCCGGUAGGUGUCUCGACUGUCCCUCGUCACUAUCCACCAAGGUUAGUAUUGAUACUUACUAGGUACCAUUGUGGUGUACUCAAACUAUGCUUCUGCACCUUUUUGUGCAGACCUAGGUGUCACGGUUAUUGUUGAUUAUUAGCUAGUUGAUCGAGCACUACUGCGAAUACUCAAGGUAAACCUAUCAUCAGUUUUGCAGGCCUCGGAGUCAUCUUCUGAUUUUGUAUUUGUACUAUUAUAUUUCCAUUUCGAACAAUUGUAUUUAAGGAUUUUCUUAGUGCACUUAGUAGAGCUUAUGACUUGUACUACCGAUUUUGGGAAGUGUAAGUUGUGUAUAAAGAUUUUUAUCUCAUAUUUUCAUUUAAUGGUUGAAUUCUUCUAUGAAUUCAGUAAAUGUUAGGCUUACCUAGUCUUAGAGACCAGGUGCCAUCACGACAUCCUAUAAAGGAAAAUUUGGGUUGUGACAAGUUGGUAUCAAAGCUCUAGGUUCAUAGGUGCUACAAGUAAUAAGAGAGUUUAGUAGAGACUUGCAGAUUAGUACAGAGACAUUUGUACUUAUCUUCGAGAGGCUACAAAACUAUUAGGAUAGUUUCACUUCCUUCAUUCCUAUCGUGCGGGUUUAUUGAUCUCGAAGUUCGAACCAUUGCCAUUCUACUCUCUCACCGAUGGUGAGGACAUGAGCUGCAACUACCGAUGAUGCUUCCUUCAGAGCUGGCAUUGCUGGGGACUAGGGUAGAGGUAAAGGCCAAGGCCGAGGAGGAUCACGUGCUACAGUUAGAGCACCUGUUAGAGCAGCAGCUGAGGAUCCACUAGUAGCUACGGUUAGGGGGCAUGUACUAGAGGCGCCUAUUGUUACCCCAGGACAUUAGGAGACUUUAGCACAGUUCCUGAGUAUGUUUGGUACAUUGGCUCAGAUGGGGUUUAUUUCGGUUGCACAAGCUACUUCAUAGAGCGAGGGGGGGCUUAGACUCCCACCGCCCGUACUCUAGAGCAGCAAGUCCAUCUUUGGUCAGUUUCCAGGUGUCAUGCCGACAUAGCCUGUUGUCAAAUUUAGCUCGUGGUUAGGGCAACAGCAUAUGAGAAAGAACAUCUUAGAGACUUGAGAGGUUCAAGAAGUAUUACCCUCCUAUUUUCAGUGAAUUGUUUAGGCAUAUGCCUACUUUGGUUUAUAUUGUUAGAGAGAGAGAGUCUGUAGGUUCAUUGUGGGGCUCAUUCAUGAUAUCCGAUUCAACAUAGCUUGGGAGUUCGAGUCAGAUGUUCUAUUUUAGCAGGUGGUAGAGAUCACCCGCUAACUAGAGGGCAUGUGGGACUAGGAGGUACAGGUCAUGCGGGGUCUGGAAAAAGAGGAUAGGGAGGCUAAGAGGACUCGUAGACCAGAGAGGUCAACUGGUCCCUAUUUUGGAGGCAGCGUACGACAUGGUAGAGGUUUUGUAGGUCAUCCAAUUCAGUUUGCACUUCAGGCUUCGCACAGUGUUUCAAGUACCCAUGGGUCUCAGGGUACUCGUACCGGACAACUUCCAGAAGCCACAUCAGCGUAGAGGUUGCUUGAGUGUGGAAGUACCAGCCACAUGGUAAGAGAUUGUCCUAUACUCUGGAUGGAUGUGUCAUAACAGAGUAAUCACGCUAUGCGUUCUGCUUUAGUUUUAGGUGCAGGUUAGGCGAGAAGAGGGUUUCCAAAAAGGGGAGGCCCGACCCAUUAAUGUACUUUCUACAGUAGGGCUGAGGACGUUGUGCCAGAUGAUCAUGUACAAGUAUGGUUUCAAUUUGUUAUAGAUGAGUGUCGUUCACAUUUUGUUUCGGUUCUUCUUAUCAGGGUGAGUCCUCCUAUUUUACUUCACAUAUGGGUGAGUUUCGUGAUUUUGUACUAUAUUUGUGUGUGUACCCUUGUUUGGAAAUUCUAUAGUGGCAUCACAUGUCUAUCGUUCUAUUUUUAUUUAUUAUUGACAGUUAUGAGACUAUAAGUGACUUCCUUUUACCCAUUACAAUAGGUUUUGAUGUGAUUUCUGAGUGAUUGAUUAUGAUAUGCGAUUUAGAUGCUCUACCAGUGUGGGAGUUCAAUAUAUGUUGUGAUUUUGUCAGUGAAAUUGAAUUAGUGGAAGGUUUUAGUUGGUAUUAUGUGUAUUCCACUUGUGAUUCAGAGUUAAGGGUGAGACCCUCGCAAUUUCAUGUGAUAUGAUGUGUUUGAACUAGGAUGCAUGCCGCGGUGGAAGUCAUAUCAAGAUGAUAUCCUUGUGAUUAGUUCAUAUGUUUUGAUUAUCCCUUGUGAAAUUAGUUCGUAGUAUGGUAUUGAUAGGGAGUUGUGUCGCUCGAUCUUGUAUGAUAGUUCCUUCAUGUGUUGCCUUGUAUAUUCGGUCUUAUUCGUGGUAUGUUUAUUGAGUUUUAUCUUGCGAUAAGUGUUCCUAGGUGUUGUUAUAUGUGACUUGUCGAUUCAGUUGAAUAGUUAUGAGGACUUCAUGUUUCGAGUAUCGUUGUCGGUGUUGUGAAGGCUUGGAACGGGGUUCUAACAGAUAUGAGGUUAAUUGAUGAUACUGAAUUUGAUUAAGAGUAGCUAUUGUGAUCAGAGAUGUGGUCAUGUGCAUAUAUGUGAUGUGUUACGUCGUGUAGUUGUACCUUGUGGGUGUAGGCAUAAGUUGUUGCAGCUGGUUGAGGUUGGUAUCGUAUGUUGAUGUAGGAAUCAGCCUUUUGGAAGAAAACAGAUGGUGGGAAGUUCUAAGGACUAUCAGUAUGGCUGGAAGGAAUAAUCUUCAGUUGAGAUAGUGUCGUUGGGACUAUGUGCAUUGGGUUGACAUGGGAUCACCCCGCGAGUGCAUUUAUGGUAGUUCACUUAGUGAUUUGAAGACUUCGGAAUAGUUCUUGGCAUGUUCAAGGACGAACAUUGGUUUAAGAGGAGGAGGAUGUAAUGACCCGACCGGUCAUUUUGAGACUUUGCAUCCCAUUCGGUGGCUUAAGGUCUAGAGCAACUUUGUAUUGUAUAUUAUGGCUUGUGUGUGCGUGUGCGUUCAAGUUCAGGUUUCGGAUGAUUUGGGGUCAAUUUGGAAGAAGGAUUUUUGUUUUAGAAGCUUAAGCGGUACGAGUUGACUGGAGUUUUGACUUUUGGGUAUACGACUUUGAAAUGAUAUUUUGAUGAUUCAAAUAGUUUCGUAUGGUGAUUAUGGACUUAGGCGUGCGUCCAGAUUUGGAUUUGGAGGUCCGUAGGGUAAUUUGAAGCAUUUCGGCAAAAAUUGGAAAGUUGAAGUUUUUGAAGGUUGAGAGGUUUGACCGAGAGUUGACUUUUGUGAUAUCGGGAUCGGAAUUUUAUUCCGAGAGUUAGAUUAGCUCCUUUAUGUCAUUUGGGACUUGCAUGCAAAAUUUGACGUCAUUCCGAGUUGAUUUAACAUGUUUCAGCAUGAGUUUUGAAAGUUGGAAGAUUUGAAAGUUCAUAAGUUCGAUUCAUGGUUUCAACAUUGUUUGAUGUGAUUUAAGAUCCCGAGCGGAUAUGCGUUAUGUUAUGGAACUUGUUGGAAUGCUUCGAUGGGGUCCUAGGGGCCUCGGGUGCGUUUCGGAUGGGCCACAAGCCAUUUUCUUAUGUUUUGGAAUGCUAACGUUCUGGUGUCUGAUAACCUUUUUCGUGAUCGCGUAGUGUAAGCCGCGAUCGCGUAGUAUAUUUGUUGACUUGCCAUAUUUUCCUCUUCGCGUUCGCAUGGAUCAGUCCACGAUCGUGUAUGUGUGGCUUCUAUGGAUCAGUCCACGAACUUGUUGGAAUGUUUCGACGAGAUCCCAGGGGCCUCGGGUGCAUUUUGGAUGGGCCACGAGCCAUUUUCUUAUGUUUUGGAAUGCUGAAGUUUCGGGGUCUAGUAACCUUCUUUGUGAUAGUGUUAGUCGCGAUCGCGUAGUAUAUUUUUUGACUUUCCAUAUUUUCCUCUUUGCAUUCGCAUGGAUCAGUCCACGAUUGCAUACGUGUGGCUUUUACUUCUUCGCGUUCGCAUCCCCAUGUCCGCGUUCGCAUAGAGCUUCUGGUGGGGGCACUGUGAUGUCUUCUAUGCGAUCACAUUCUUAUUCUCACAAUCACGUAGUGUAUUUUUCUGGGCAGUGUAGUUUCUUAUACCGUAUCUCAUAUUUCUUGCGCGAUCGCGAUGUGCAAAUACCUGGGCAAGAGAAUAUAUUUUUCAAAUCAAGGGUUUGGCCAUUUUUACCAUAUCUUGAGUUGUAGACCUUGGUUUUGAGCGAUGUUUCAUGGGUUUUUCAAGAAAAUUAUUGGGGUAAGUGUUCUUCACCCAUAAUUUAUUAUAUUCCAUGAUCCCAUUUUUAUAUUUAUCUUAUAAUUAGUGUUUUGAGUUGAGAAAAAAAUGGGAAUUUUUGAAGAAAUCGUUCAAAAUAUAAAAUGAGGAUUGAAGGACGAAUUGAUGUCGGAAAUAAAUAAUUUUGGUAUGGUUGAACUUGUAUUGAGAUGUGUGUUACGGUUUGUGAAUUUUAUCAUGUUCCGAGGGGCGAGCCCGGGGAUUGACUUUUUAGUUGUAAUUAAAGAUUGAAUCUUUAUUCUCCGUAAUUGUUUCCUAUGAGUUUUUUAUGAUUUAAAGUUAUUUUGGCUAGAUUUGAGCCGUCCGGAGGUCGUUUCACUCGAGAAGGCCAUUUUAGAGAAUCGGUCUAGCUUCUUUGAGGUAAAUAUCUUACCCAAAUUUGUGUGGGGGAAUUAUCCCUUAGGAUUUGAGUCUAAAGUACUAAUUGUGUCAUGUGAAGAUCGUGUACGCGAGGUGACGAGUACGUGCUCGGGCUUAUUUUUGGAAAUUUGACCGUUUAGGGCUCUUAGGUUCUUAUGUUCAUUAUAUAUGAAGUUGUUUUGUCAUAUUAAAUCCCAUAUUAACUAGUUUCACCUCUACGUGUCUUAAUUGGAAUUAAUUGCUUCAUGUUCCACCCUUACUGCCUAUUUAACUCUUACGUGCCUUAACUGAAGUUGUUGCCUCUUCUAUUGCCAUGCUAUCCCUCCCUACUUGCUUAUCCUUAAUUGAAGUUGUUAUUAUCUUCUCUGUAAUUUGUCUAUCCUUAAUUGAAGUUAUUAUUAUCUUUUAUGUAACUUGUCUAUCCUUAAUUGAAGUUAUUAUUUUUUUUCUAAAAUUACUUAUUCGUAAUUGCAUUUGUUGUAUCUCUUCCGAAAUUGCUCAACCAUAAAUGACGAUUUGUUUGUCCCUUAUCAUUGUUGACUUAUCCGUCACCGGAAUCAUUGAUUCAUGUUAUCCCUCUUACCGUUGAAUUGUACUUUGGUGGAAUCAUUGCUACACAUUAUCUCUUCUUUGUUGAGAUAUUAUUAUGUUGUACCAUUAUUUCAUGUUGUGUUUUUAUUUGUGAGUUUGUUCUUCUAUUUCUUUUGUAUUAUGAAGUUACUGAGUUGAUUUACUUGCUGCAUUAUCGUGUUAUUGUCACGACCCAAACCCACAACCUGUCGUGAUGGCGCCUAUCGAUGCUACUAGGCCAGCCGACAUUCAAAGUACUUCGAUAUUUCAUUAAAAGAUAAACCAAAAGCCUUUUCAAAUAGGAUUCUCAUAAAAACAAGAGUUAAACUCAAAAUAAAAAUACGAAAAGGUAGCCCCAAAUAUUGGGGUGUCACUAAGUCAUGAGUGUUUAAACAUAACCGGUCCAAAAAUAAUAUGACAAACAUAGUAUGUAAUCCAAAAUACAACUAAAUGAAAGAUAGGGAAGAAGAAAGCAACGUUGCGAACGUCAGGCAGCUACCUCGCUAUCUUUAAUAAUCAACUACGAGGACUAUCAGCACCCUCCACGACCAACUACUCCUGGAUCUGCACACGAGGCGCAAGGAGUAAUGUGAGUAUACCAACUCAGUAAGUAACAGAAAUAAAUAUGGAACUAAGAAGCAGUGACGAGCUAUGCAAAUACAGUUCAUUUCAUAAAACUUCAGUAAAGAAUAGGCAUGUUUUCAAUCCAUAGGUUUAAGUCAGGUUCAAGUAAAGUUAGAUAAAAUAUCUUCCAACAGUUCUCAAACAAGGAUGUAAGGCAACUGUAUGCAUCAAAUAAUGAAAUCAUAUACUACCUCUCAGGCAAUUAUCACAUAGUCCUCCCAGUCACUUCAACCUCACAGUCUCUCAUUACUCUCAAUCGCUCAGCACUCGAAACUCGCACUCAGUAGGUAUCUGCGCUCACUAGUGUGUGUACAGACUCCGGAGGGGCUCCUUCAGCCCAAGCACUAUAUCAAUGUCAAUCAUGGCAGAAUCAAUGAAACAUGAUGCGGCGUGCAGACCAAUCCCAUUAAUAUCCUUACAAUCAGGUCAUUGGCUUCACUCAAUCAUCAAUCUCUCCAGUCUCUCAGGCCUUCAAAAAUCAGGAAAAUUCAGCCUUAUAGUAAUAAUAUGAUGCAUCAAAUGGAAUAACAGAGACGGAGAUAUAAUAUGCGAGUAAAAACUGCGACUGAGUACAAAUAAUAUUUAGCAGGAAAUUCAACAUGUAAAGCGACCUCAAUGGGACCCAACAAUACCAACACAUAGUCUAAACAUGGUUUCUAACAUGAUUUACAGUCAAUUUCUAUAACACAUAGAGAGCAUAUAGCUAACAGGAAAUUGUAUAACUUUACAAUUUCCACGGGACGAACCAAGUCACAAUCCCCUCGGUGUAUGCCCACACGCCCAUCACCUAACAUGUGCGUCACCUCCAAAUAAUCAUAUGGCAACAAGAUCCGGGGUUUUAUACCCUCAGUUCCAGAUCUACAAAUGUUACUUACCUCAAUCUGAGCAAAUCUCUACUCUGGAAUGCCCUUGCCUUCCGAAUCGGUCUCCAAAUGUCCCGAAUCUAGCCACAAACAGUACACUACCAUUAAUAUAUGCUAAAGGGAUCAAUUUCACAAGAAAACUACUAAAUUAGACUCAAAAUUCGAAAUUGGCUCAAACCGACCCUUGGGCCCAUAUUUCGGAAUCCGACAAAAAUUACAAAACCCGAAAACACAUUCACUCACAAGUCUAACUAUAUCAAAAUUCGACCUCAAUUACCCCUCCAAAACCCCAAAGUUCACUCUCCAAUUUUCAAGCCCUAACCCCCAUUUUUCACCUUAAGACCUCACUAAUUAGGUGUAAAAAUUCAUGGAAAAAUAUCAUUGCCAAAUAUAAUUAGGCUCAAGGACUUACCUCAGUGAUAACCUCGAAUUCCCUUCGAAACUCUCCUCAAAAUCUCCAAAAGUCCGAGUUCAAAUAUGUGAAAAUGGGAAAAAAUCCUGAAGUCCUCUAUUUAUACUUUCUGUCGAGGAAAAUCGCACAUGCGGUCCCUUUUUCGCUUCUGUGACACCGCACCUACGGGAUUUCCUUUGCAGGUGCAUAUCUCACUUAAACUACCCGGUUCCGCAUCUUCUAUCAAACUCUCGCACCUGCAGACCUUGUCCGCUUCUGCGGUUCCUUCCCACUCAGGCCUUCUCCCCAUCUACGGCUCUAUCUCCGCACCUGCGUGCUCGCAGGUGCACUCAUCCCUCCACAUAUGCGCUUCCAGUCCAGCCCAUGAUUUCCCGCACCUACGACCUCUUCCUCUCUUCUGCGAGGCCGCACCUGCGGGCCUUCCAUCGCAGGUGCGAAAACACCAAAACAUCAGAAAAAUCUGCCAAGCCUAAGUCCAAAACUUCCUUCCGAUGAGCAUCCGAAACACCCCGAAGCCCCCGGGACCUCAACCAAACCUACCAACAAGUCAUAUAACCCCAUACUAACUUAGUCAAACCUUCAAAUCACUCAAACCAACAUCAAAACACCAAAUUACCCCCGGAUUCAAGCCUAAGAAUUUUUAAACUUCCAAAUUCUGCAUUGUUGUGGAGACUCAAGGUAAACCUAUCGUCGUGUUCCCAGGCCCUUCUGAUUUUGUAUUUGUACUGUUUGAUUUUCAUUCCAAACAUAUUUAUUUAAUAAUUUUCUUAGUGAACUCAGUAGAGUUUAUGACUUGUACUACCGGUUUUGGGAAGUGUAAGUUGUGUAUAAAGAUUUUUAUCUCAUAUUUUUCAUUUUAUGGUUGAAUUCUUCUAUGAAUUCAGUAAGUGUUAGGUUUACCUAGUCUUAGAUACUAGGUGCCGUGGCGACAUUCUACAGAUGGAAAUUAGAGUCGUGACACAUUUCACUAAAGGCUUUUGUGCUUUUAAUAUUGUAUUGAUAUAGAUAGAUUAUAGUACGAAACUUACUUUAACUAAAAAUUGGAAAACCUAUUUUUGACUAUAAAUCUUAUUUAAACAUGAAUUGAAUAAACUAUAAAAUACCACAACUUAAAAUUUUGGUUUUCUGCUACAACUUUAUUUAAUCUUCCAAUACUCCUACUAGUUUAACGGGAUUUAAUUGUGAAGAAAGUCUUUCUUUCUGGAAGAUUGCUUGACUUUCAAACUACAACUUUAUUAGCUUUCAUGCGCGAAGGUACACUUUAAGACAUGCUUUGCCCCUGCGAGGCUUUGUAAAUAUCCACCAAAACAGGGACAGAGGUAGAACUUGAAAUAUUGUGCGGACUUUUUUAGGAUCAUGGUUUAAAUUUUGAUCCCGGUUAAAAAAUUCUUGAGAAAAUAGCUCCGACUAGGAAUUUAAUUAAGAAGCAUUCCUCGCAAUCGCCAAAAAUUUUCUAUAUGAAAAAUUCUAUCGAUUAUUAUAUUUUGUGGCAAAAAAGCGGUGAAGAGAAUUUCAAACUAGGGAAAAGUGUAUAUCCUCGGCCACGUUGGGAUUGAUAAAAAAUAACUUACUGUAUUGAGCGUUUAUACUAAACAAUAUGUAAUUUACUAUGAUUAAUGAUAAAUUAAGGUGAAAAUAUUUUCAACAAACUAUAGUGUAAUGAUAAUCAUGUUGGCUUAACUUUCAGCAACUUGAGUUUAAUUAGUUGAAUCUUAUUUUCCAAUCAAUGAUAAACAGUGAAAAAUUUAAAACCGAGGUCUCUGGGAAAUUUUCGAUAUUUUAGCAACUCUCCGUAAGUUGCUAACAGGGACAAGAAUAUUUUCAAUUCUCAUCGAUUAAGCGUAUUGUGUCGGUUCGUUUGAGUAAUAUAUCGAAAAAUACCUUUUGAUACUUAUGUGGUGGUGGCAAAAUGGAUUAAAACAAAUAGUUUAUCAUUCAUAUUAUGGGUUGGAUAAUGAACUUUUAAAAAAUGGGUCAAAUAUGAAUAAGUUUUAUGUUAUCCAUUUAAAAAAUGGAUAAUCAAUAAGUUUAUCUUUUAAUUUGUAAGGACUCAAAUUAGUGCUUCUUCAAGAUUCGGAAACUAUUAAUUCUCUAAAAAAUAAUCAUAUUCAAGAAGUCAUUAAUACUAUGGAUAUCAAUAUUAUUCGUCGGUUAAUCAAUUUUCUAUCUGUAUUUAAUAUGAUUGGGAUCAGAUAAUUUGUUCAUUUUUAUAUUACUUAUUUAUCAACCGCCUAUAUCCAACCCGACCCAACCGUUUGUCAUCCUUAUACCUAUACCUAUGGAAAGCGAUUUUCUUUUCUUUCACAAUAAAGGAAAGGAAUUCACUGCAAAAACUAUACAAGGGUCUAAAUAAACUGAAAUCAACAAAACAUUUACACCAAAAUCAAGAUUCUCACAUGGACAAUAAUACCCUUCACCACACUCUAAAUUUACCAAAACUAAGUACUCUUUCCUUUUUUUAUAAUCGUAAUGUUCGUAUCAACUUGCACGCAUCUUAAUUAAUUCCACGGAAUAACUUCUCUCUCUUCAGCUUAAGAUUGCUGAAUUUCUUCGGCAAGAGAGAGAGCUACCACCAAAAGAGAACAUUGAAGACAAAGAUUGAGCCAAACUCAAAACAAUGGCCACCUUCACUUGACCUCUUUUUGGAAUGGGUCGGCCAUAAACAAGCUUUCUUGACAAUUUUCUGCCAUUAUUUAUCAUCUCUUUAUUCUGAGCUCCUUUCAUUUUCUCUAACUACAGAAAUUCUUGAACACCAAACAAUGGAUUGACUGAUGCUUUAUGUUUGUGGCCCUUACUUUGCUAGUUGAGAUUCGAGAAAAAAUGACCCUUCUAUUUAUAUAGCUCAUAAGUUUGAAA